GAGAGAGUGGCAGAGCGGUUAUGUAGUUAGCUUGAAAUUAACUAAUGGAGGUUCAAUUCCUUCUUCUCUUGUAA
rnacentral:tRNA from 1 species